AAUUACGCUGCCACUGUCACCUAUCUUUUUGUGUUCUGCAGGAUGUUUUCUGGGGUUCUGCUGUUAUCUGGUCUAGAAGACUAAUGGCAUGGUGAUCCAAAUGACAGAAAACCCCCUUAUCUGGGAAACUCCAGGUCCCAAGCAUUGUAUUUAGUGGAAUAAAUAAAAACACAAACAAACCAUUUUGAGGUUUACCAAAUAUUUUUAUUGAUUUGAAACAACAGAUAAUACAAGACAUGCAGGUGUUUGUACAUAAAUGUAUAUAUAGUAAACAAAAAAUGGAUCUCAUCACUCAGGACUUAUGGUGAAAAUAUUCAGUGAUUUAUUUAGGUAAAAAUUACAGGAACUGACGUUUCAGCCACAGCAGCAGCCUUUCUCAAAGUAAAUGUAUAUAUACACAGAUUAAAAGGGAAACAUGAAGUCAGAGUGUUUAUAUGUAAAGCCGGUUGCCAUGGAUCACAUAGGUUAGAGAGUGACAGGAACAUUGAGGGAGUUUAGGGGGAAAUAUGUAGUGAGAAGCAGAGAGGGCAAAAGAGUUAACAAGCUGGCAUGUAUAUUAUUUUAUCAUAUAGCAUAUAUAUAGUAAAUAGUUAACAAUACUUAAAGGGCAUCUAUCACAUAAAAAUGGUCCCUCCCACCAGAGGUGCAAGCUAACAGAGCUAGUGAGUGAGUACUCUCUGUGCCUCAGCAUGGCCGGCCGCACUGGGAGCUCACUUUCAGUACAGGGGGCAGAGCAGUGGUGGGAACAAUUUGUAUGUGAUGAGUGAGAGAAUGUAAUUAUAAGUCUUCAUUUUACUAAUCAUAUGAUUAUCUCACAUUCAUAGGGGACCAGAAAAAGAUUCCAGCAACCAAUGGAGACAUAUAUUUCUUAAAUGAGUCUACGCACAAGGAAGUGAAGUGUCCUAUAUAUACAUAAUCAUACAUUUAUCUCAUAUUUGGAGGUGUAGCUGGGUGACCAGGGAACAGCUCCAGCAAGCAACAGAGAAGAGCAUUUGUGGAAGUUAAAAAUCAUUGAGGAAAGGCCGCGUUGGUCCUGAAACGUUCGAUCAUUUGUAAAGCACCUUGGAAUAAAGUUGGGAUCACCCGUUUGCUGCAAUAAUACAGGGGGAACCUGGAGCUCCCACCACCUCCAAAGGUUGUCUCAAGGAACUUGUUACUUACCGCACUUCAUGGCUGGUGAAAUAUUCCUGACGCUCGAUAAGCUGUUGCAGCGUUCCGCCUCUGGCAUACUCCAUGACAUAUAAUACGAGUGACUUGUUAUAAAACAAAAGGUAAAGUAUAGAAUUAGGUCAAAACAGAGGAACAGAAUUUAUACAAUUUCUUUUAAUAAUUAACACAGAAAUAUAACUACAGGUUCGGCAAAACCAGUAGCAUCUAUGGGUCCCCUGCAAUAGAAAUUUGCACCCCCCUGUAUUUGCUCUUGCUCUAUUGCUGCCCACCCCCCAUCCCCUCUACAUGUGCUCUGUGCCAACAAAACCGGCAGGAAAGAAGAAUAUAAAAUGUAUAGUGUCCAUCUACUGAGUAACUGUAAAUAUAUUAUGUGAAAUACUUUUAUUAGCAAUGUAAGCAUUCUUGGGAAGAGGAAAAUAAUCCCUUAGUAA